rnacentral:rRNA from 1 species
GACGAACGCUGGCGGCAUGCCUAACACAUGCAAGUCGAGCGAGCUGAUCCCUUCGGGGUGAAGCUAGCGGCGGACGGGUGAGUAACACGUGGGCAACCUGCCUCAUAGAGGGGAAUAGCCUCCCGAAAGGGAGAUUAAUACCGCAUAAGAUUGUAGCUUCGCAUGAAGUAGCAAUUAAGGAGCAAUCCGCUAUGAGAUGGGCCCGCGGUGCAUUAGCUAGUUGGUGAGGUAACGGCUCACCAAGGCGACGAUGCGUAGCCGACCUGAGAGGGUGAUCGGCCACAUGGGGACUGAGACACGGCCCAGACCCCUACGGGAGGCAGCAGUGGGGAAUAUUGCACAAUGGGGGAAACCCUGAUGCAGCAAUGCCGCGUGAGUGAUGACGGCCUUCGGGUUGUAAAGCUCUGUCUUCAGGGACGAUAAUGACGGUACCUGAGGAGGAAGCCACGGCUAACUACGUGCCAGCCGCCGCCGUAA